GUCUCGUUUGAAAGGAAAUCGAAGUAGCUACCCCCUUGGUCAACAAUGAUGGGAUCAAAGCAGAUGAGCACAGUCUGGUUGGUAGCCUUGGCGCUAGGUUCGGCAAGUGCCUUCCAACCGCUCGUUUUU